rnacentral:rRNA from 1 species
AGGGUUCGAUUCUGGCUCAGGAUGAACGCUGGCGGCGUGCUUAACACAUGCAAGUCGAACGGGAUCCAUCAGGCUUUGCUUGGUGGUGAGAGUGGCGAACGGGUGAGUAAUGCGUGACCGACCUGCCCCAUACACCGGAAUAGCUCCUGGAAACGGGUGGUAAUGCCGGAUGCUCCGACUCCUCGCAUGGGGUGUCGGGAAAGAUUUCAUCGGUAUGGGAUGGGGUCGCGUCCUAUCAGGUAGUCGGCGGGGUAACGGCCCACCGAGCCUACGACGGGUAGCCGGCCUGAGAGGGCGACCGGCCACAUUGGGACUGAGAUACGGCCCAGACUCCUACGGGAGGCAGCAGUGGGGAAUAUUGCACAAUGGGCGCAAGCCUGAUGCAGCGACGCCGCGUGAGGGAUGGAGGCCUUCGGGUUGUAAACCUCUUUUAUCGGGGAGCAAGCGAGAGUGAGUUUACCCGUUGAAUAAGCACCGGCUAACUACGUGCCAGCAGCCGCGGUAAUACGUAGGGUGCAAGCGUUAUCCGGAAUUAUUGGGCGUAAAGGGCUCGUAGGCGGUUCGUCGCGUCCGGUGUGAAAGUCCAUCGCUUAACGGUGGAUCUGCGCCGGGUACGGGCGGGCUGGAGUGCGGUAGGGGAGACUGGAAUUCCCGGUGUAACGGUGGAAUGUGUAGAUAUCGGGAAGAACACCAAUGGCGAAGGCAGGUCUCUGGGCCGUUACUGACGCUGAGGAGCGAAAGCGUGGGGAGCGAACAGGAUUAGAUACCCUGGUAGUCCACGCCGUAAACGGUGGAUGCUGGAUGUGGGGCCCGUUCCACGGGUUCCGUGUCGGAGCUAACGCGUUAAGCAUCCCGCCUGGGGAGUACGGCCGCAAGGCUAAAACUCAAAGAAAUUGACGGGGGCCCGCACAAGCGGCGGAGCAUGCGGAUUAAUUCGAUGCAACGCGAAGAACCUUACCUGGGCUUGACAUGUUCCCGACAGCCGUAGAGAUAUGGCCUCCCUUCGGGGCGGGUUCACAGGUGGUGCAUGGUCGUCGUCAGCUCGUGUCGUGAGAUGUUGGGUUAAGUCCCGCAACGAGCGCAACCCU